GUUUUAGCAUGUUAGGCUAUUCUCGAACUCUUGACCUCAGGUGAUCUGCCCGCCUCAGCCUCCCAAAUUUCUGGGAUUACAGGUGUGAGCCACCAUCCCUGGCCAGUUUCCUUCUUCAUACUUUACUAUGUAAAAAACAAUUUCGACCCCACACUACUUAGAGACCAAGUACAAGAGGCAAAGGCAAAAUUUAAAGAAUACCGAUGCUUCAAGAGUUUGUUAUUAUUUUCACCCACAGAUAUACCUCUAUUUUCCACAAGAACAGCAAGCAAAAGAGAAGACAGGGAGGCACUCAGAGGAUGGGGAUUCUCCAAAGGUGAAAUGCAAGCUUAAGCAGUUUAAAUGUGUUGAUUUCAAAUGGGAUAUGAGCAGCAACUGCAAAUUAUAAAUCAUCCUGGUUAGCCUACUGAGAUCAGUGAGGAGAAGAGAAUGGGAGGAUCAGAACACAAAUGAAGUCACUGAUUACUUGGUUGCAGCCAAGAUGCAAAAAGGAAUAAGAUGUGCUUCUCUGCUCAGAAAAUUCAUAGUCCAUUGGGAGAAUGGGGUCUUCCUGGAUCAUUUCAGAACAACGUGGAAAACAAUGCAAUUAAAGAAUGUGUGUACAUAGUUUCAUAGAACCACAGACAAGGGCACCCAGCCUAUCUGGGGUGGGUGCAGAAUACAGAAUUUGAAAAUUAUCCAGUGGAAGUGAUUACUAAGAUGACUCAAAAACAGGACUGACGCAGGCAUGAACAGGGAGAUAUGAGCAUUCUGGAUGGUAUUGCAUAUGGAGGGAGAAAUUCUACUUUGGAACACUGACGUCAAGGCCAGUUGGGUGAGAGAUGGGGUUGGGGCAGUCAUCAAGUGCCAGACCACACGAGGAUGAAAUGCCUUGUUAAGGCAUCUGGCCUUUACCUUGUUGGCAGAAGGAAACCAUUGCUGAGUCUUAAAUAGUAGAAUGACAUGGUCAGGUAUGCCUUUCAGAUAACUCUCUGACAUGGCCUUGUAGAAAAUUGAUUGGAGAAGACAAGAAGAUGACAGGAGGGAAUGAGCCAUAGAAAGGCAGAUUUCCUUGGAAGAAAGAAAUCUUCUUCCAAAGAAGACUUCCAUAGGGUACUGUUACAGUAACCCAGACAGGAGAUGUUAAGGUCUGAACCUGGGUAUUAGUAGUUAGGGAGGAAAUAAAAUUGAGAAAUAUUACACUAUGUAAUUAGAGGGCACACCAAAUGGUUGAGUGGGAGGUGUCAAAGAGAGGUGGAUCAGAGUUGUCUUAGUUCAGCUACUAUAACAAAUUUCCAAAGACUGAAUGGCUUAAAAAAUAAUUUAUGUCUCACAAUUCUGGAGGACAGGAAGUCCAAGGUCAAGGCUCCAGCAGAUUUGGUCUCCUGUGAGGGCCUGCUUCCUGGUUUGCAAAUUGUUUUGUGGCUAUCUUCUCAUUGUAUCUUCACAUAGUGGAGGGCAGACAGAGAGAUCUCCUGCCACCUUCUCUUUUUAAAGGGUACUAAUCCCAUUAUGAGGUCCCCACUGUCAUGACCACAUCUAACGCUAAUUGCUUAUCAAAGGCCCUACCUUCAAACACCAUUAUAUUGGGGGUUAGGAUUUCAACAUAUCAGUUUGGAGAAGACACAAAUAUUUCGUGCAUAACAAGGGACAAUUUUCAUGUAUGUACAAAGGUCUUCCUUGGUAAGACCUUUCCUGACCACUCCACUAAAACUACAAAUCAUCCUUACCAGCAUCCCCUAUCCCUUCUCUUCCAUCUUUCUCUAGUGCUUAUAUAAUUUCAUUAUUAGCUAUCUGUCUUCACUACAAUAUGUGAGAUUCUUUAUGGCAGGGAUUUUGUCUCUUUUGUUCACUGCUGCAUCACAAUACCUGCAGCAGUGCCUGGCACCUACUAUGUACUCAAUAAGUAUCUGCUCAGUGAAUGAAUGCCUGAUGGUGGUGCUGAGAAAAACUGAGAAAAAAAUGCAGGAAGAAGAGCAAGUUUAGAGAAAAUGAUGCUGGGUUCACUUUUGCACUUUCUUUAGCACUCCAGGGAAAAAUAAAGCUAUGCAGAGACUCAGAAUGUUGGAUAUGACAGAGGCCCUAGAGACCAUUUGUUUUAGUCCAUUUAUGUUGCUAUAAAGGAAUACCUGAGGCUGGGUAAUUUAUAAAGAAAAGAGAUUUCUUUGGCUCACAGUUCUGCAGGCUGUACAGGAAGCAUGGCUCCAGCAUCUGCUUCUGGUGAGGGUCUCAGGCUAAUUUCACUCAUGUCAGAAGGCAAAGGGAAAGCGGUGUGUGCAGAGCUCACAUGGCAAGAGGAAGCAAGAGAGAAAGAGGGAGGGAAGGUGCCAGGCUCUUUUUGACAACCAGCUCUCAUGGAAACGAAUAGAGCAAGAACUGACUCAUUCCCACCAGGACAGCACCAAGUAAUUCAUGAGGAAUCCCCCACUGACCCAAACACCUCCCAUUAGGUCUUACCUCCAACAUUAGGGAUCACAUUUCAAUAUAAGACUUGGAGGGGUCAAAUAUCCAAACCAUUGCACCAUUCUAUACAGUUCCUUCAUUUGGGAAAAAAAGAAACUGAGGUCCAGAAAACUGAAGUGUCAUGCCCAUGGCAAGGCAAACACAGCUGAGCCAAGCAUCCCACCCCUGUUCCCAGCUUCAGUUUAGUGUUUAUGCCUCUUGUUUCUGGUAAUAUGAGAGAUCAAUAAAAAUCACUUGCCUUUGACCUUCAGCUAGAAUUUAACUAAACUAUUAAGUGCCUGUUUUUUCAGAGCCCACUUAACCAAUUCAUUCAGGAAAGAAAAUUUUUUGAGCCUGAGCCAGAUAUAGAAAGAUCUAGUCAUAGAGGUCUUCUCUGCCUUGGAAUCUUGCCAGGCUGAGGCUGCCUUAGCAGCUGUGCUAAAGCAAAUAGACAGCUCUGCCUGUGAGCCUCACACCAGGUAAGUAGUUGCCUGAAUCCAUCCGUGAUUUUAUUUUUAUUUGAUAUUUUUAAAUUGAGGUAUAAUUGUCACACCAUGAAAUGUAUAGAUCUUGUCAAUACAGGUCAAUGAAUUUUGACAAACAUAAACACCCAUGUAACCCCUACCCCAAUAAAGAUCCUUCCUGCCCUUCCCAAAGCCCCUUUCAGAGGCAACCACUUUUCUGAUUUCUAUCACCAUUGAUUAGUUUUGCCAGUUCAAGAACGUCAUGUAAAAGGAAAACUUUUCCAGAUUCGUACAUCUGGCUCCUUUUACUUGGCCUCAUGUCUAUGAGAUUCAACCAAGUUGGUGCUUGUAUCAUUAGUUUUUUCUUCACAUUGCUGAGUAGUAUUCAUGGGCUUAGUAUAGCACAAUUUGUUUAUUCAUUCUCCUGGAUAUUUAAGCUGUUUCUAAUUUCUGGCUAUUGUGAGUAAAGGUGCUAUAAACAAUCUUGUUUAAAUAUAUUUAAGGACAUAUGUUUUCAUUUUCCUUGGAUAAAUGUCUAGAAGUGACAUGGUUGGGUCUUAGGAUAGGUAUAUGUUUAACUUCAUAAAGAAAUGCCUAACAGUUUUCCAAGGUAGUAUAUGAUUUUUACACGCCAACCAGCAACAUAUAAGAUUUCCAAUUGCUUCAUAGCCUCACCAAUAUAGGUGUCAUCAAGCCUCUUCAUUUUAACCCCAUGAGAAGUCAAACAAACACAGUACACUUUUUUUUGUAACUGCUAACACUUUGCAAACUUCUAUUAUGGAGAAUUUCAUACACUUACUUAAGCAUUAGAUGCAUUCAUCAUCUAGCUUUACGAAUUAUCAACUUAUGGCCAAUCUGGUUUCAUUUCUAUACCCUUUAUCCCCUCCUCCCAUAUUAUUUAGAAGCAAAUCCCUGACAUCAUAUCAUUCAUCUGUAAGUAUCUCAGUAUGUAUCUCUGAAAUAUAAGGACAAUUUGUAAACCUAACUAAAAUGCCAUUGCAUUUGAUAUAAAAAACAAUAAUGCUUUAAUACCACUAAAUAUUCAGUCAACAUGCAAAUUUCUAAUUGUCUCAACAAAUUCAUAAAUUUUUUGUGUAGCUUGUCUGCUAAAAUCAGUAUUCAAAUUAGUAUACGUACUGCAAUCAGUUGAUAUGUCUUACAAGUAUCUUUUAAUUCAGAGGUUCCUCCUCUUCCUGUUUUAUUCUUCAUAAUGUUUUUGUUAAAUAAAUUGGAUUGUUUGUCCUCUAAAUUUACCUAUAGAUUGGAUUUUGCUAAUGCAUUAUUUAACACAUUCUUCCGUCCUCUGUAUUUUCUGUAAAUUGUUACUUCAUCUAGGAACUUAACCACAUUCAGGUUCAAAUUUUUGGCAAAACUACCUAAUCCUUGGUAUUAUGUUCUUCUAUCUGGAGGCACAUGGUGUCUGCUGUCUCUCUUUUUCACAUUAGCACUGUUUUUUAUCUCAUCAUUAGAUGAUUAACUUAUUUUAGGUUGCAAAAUUGUGACAUUCCAAUGCUACUCUGUUUUCAUUUAUAUGUUGGGAUACUUCCAU
rnacentral:lncRNA from 1 species